UACGUAGGGUGCGAGCGUUGUCCGGAAUUAUUAGGGGCGUGAAAGGCUCGUAGGCGGUUUGUCGCGUCGGGAGUGGAAACUCGAGGGCUUAACCCUCGGCGUGCGGGCGAUACGGGCAGACUGGAGUACUGCAGGGAGACUGGAAGUUCCUGGUGUAGCGGUGGAAUGCGCAGAUAUCAGGAGGAACACCGGUGGCGAAGGCGGGUCUCUGGGCAGUAACUGACGCUGAGGAGCGAAAGCGUGGGGAGCGAACAGG
rnacentral:rRNA from 1 species